rnacentral:rRNA from 1 species
GACAGAGGAUGCAAGCGUUAUCCGGAAUGAUUGGGCGUAAAGCGUCUGUAGGCGGCCCGAUAAGUCCGCUGUGAAAGUCGGGGGCUCAACCCUCGAAUGCCGGUGGAUACUGUCGGGCUAGAGUACGGAAGAGGCGAGUGGAAUUCCUGGUGUAGCGGUGAAAUGCGCAGAUAUCAGGAGGAACACCGGUGGCGAAGGCGGGUCUCUGGGCCGAUACUGACGCUGAGGAGCGAAAGCGUGGGGAGCGAACAGG